CCUACGGGAGGCUGCAGUGGGGAAUAUUGCACAAUGGGCGCAAGCCUGACCCAGCAACGCCGCGUGAAGGAAGAAGGCUUUCGGGUUGUAAACUUCUUUCACUAGGGAAGAGCAGAAGACGGUACCUAUUGAACAAGCCACGGCUGACUACGUGCCCGCAGCCGCUGUAAUACGGAGGUGGCAAGCGUUGUCCGGAUUUACUGGGUGUAAAGGGCGUGCAGCAGGGAAGACAAGUCAGAUGGUAAAUCCGGCGGCUCAACCGCGGAACUGCAUUUGAAACUGGUUUUCUUGAGUACAGGAGAGGCAAGCGGAAGUCCUUGUGUAGCGGUGAAAUGCGUAGAUAUAAGGAAGAACACCAGUGGCGAAGGCGGAUUACUGGACAGCAACUGACGGUGAGGCGCGAAAGCGUGGGGAGCAAACAGGAUUAGAUACCCGUGUAGUC
rnacentral:rRNA from 1 species